rnacentral:piRNA from 1 species
UAAUACUGAUAUAGGCUGUGGGACACGGA